AUUGAACGCUGGCGGCAGGCCUAACACAUGCAAGUCGAACGGUAACAGGAAGAAGCUUGCUUCUUUGCUGACGAGUGGCGGACGGGUGAGUAAUGUCUGGGAAACUGCCUGAUGGAGGGGGAUAACUACUGGAAACGGUAGCUAAUACCGCAUAACGUCGCAAGACCAAAGAGGGGGACCUUCGGGCCUCUUGCCAUCGGAUGUGCCCAGAUGGGAUUAGCUUGUUGGUGGGGUAACGGCUCACCAAGGCGACGAUCCCUAGCUGGUCUGAGAGGAUGACCAGCCACACUGGAACUGAGACACGGUCCAGACUCCUACGGGAGGCAGCAGUGGGGAAUAUUGCACAAUGGGCGCAAGCCUGAUGCAGCCAUGCCGCGUGUAUGAAGAAGGCCUUCGGGUUGUAAAGUACUUUCAGCGGGGAGGAAGGGAGUAAAGUUAAUACCUUUGCUCAUUGACGUUACCCGCAGAAGAAGCACCGGCUAGCUCCGUG
rnacentral:rRNA from 1 species